rnacentral:rRNA from 1 species
CCUACGGGUGGCAGCAGUGGGGAAUAUUGCACAAUGGGGGAAACCCUGAUGCAGCGACGCCGCGUGAGUGAAGAAGUAAGUCGUUAUGUAAAGCUCUAUCAGCAGGGAAGAAAAUGACGGUACCUGAGUAAGAAGCCACGGCUAACUACGUGCCAGCAGCCGCGGUAAUAAGUAGGGGGCAAGGGUUAUCCGGAUUUACUGGGGGUAAAGGGAGCGUAGACGGCAGUGCAAGUCUGGAGUGAAAGGCGGGGGCUCAACCCCCGGACUGCUCUGGAGACUGUACGGCUGGAGUGCAGGAGAGGUAAGUGGAAUUCCUGGUGUAGCGGUGAAAUGCGUAGAUAUUAGAAGGAACACCAGUUGCGAAGGCGGCUUACUGGACUGUAACUGACGUUGAGGCUCGAAAGCGUGGGGAGCAAACAGGAUUAGAUACCCGAGUAGUC